GGAGUGACCACCAAGAAAAAGGGAGAGUCCUCUGGGUCAUUUGUUCUGAGCUCAUCAUAUGAAUUUCAAAGCACCGUAUACACCGAGUUCUCCUACACUCUCCCACAAACAGAUAUCGCGUUGGACUCCAAACCUGCAACAGUUUCCGCGCAUUGUUCUUUGACAGGAACAGAAUUACCUGCAGAAAUUACAAUAGUUAUUUGCCCCAAGGGAUGUCUAAAUCAAAAAGGAGAAGUGUGGGGAUCAGACACCUACACAGAAG